ensembl:snoRNA U3 Small nucleolar RNA U3
AAGACUAUACUUUCAGGGAUCAUUUCUAUAGUUCUUUACUUAAUUAGCAUUCACAUCCUCUGUAAACUCACCCUGGAGGUCUAAGUGAUGUUGUAGAAUGUAGGU